UGCGGUUUAAUAAAUUUUUGUAGCAUCAUGCAAGUCUUGCUGUAUACCACAACACCAGCUGUUUUCAAUUAACUGCAUGAGAAGCCCAGUCAAAGUCAGUGCUUUCAUAGUGGUGUUCACAACAUUACGGGCAUUCUUGAAUGAUGGCUAUGAACCGUAGACGGCAAGGAAAGUUGGAGAUUACACGACCACAGACAGUGGCUUGUGGAGAUGCAGCUGGUUUAAACAGCAUAUAUCCAGUUGGGAGAACAGAUGAAGAUUUACAUUCAAGAAAGAUAUGGACAUCCGCAUUGUCACGUGAAGAACAUGUUGCAACUGCUGGAAGCCUUCAAAGAAUAGCUGGUCUUUCACAGGGGAGGCAGAGGCGCUUUCUGAUGAUGGCACCAGAAAUUCUGCAACUGACCGGACUGAUGACAAACUAUGCUUGCAGUCGACCCCAUGACUGGAGGAUAUAUAUGAGACAACGAGAUGCUCAAUUCAUUCUGAGGUCUGGGAACUCUCUGAAAAUGGGAUGUUAGGACUGAGAGACCCUCUGGCCGAGAAAAAGCUACACCACAUCGGUGCUGGAUGUCAACCACAAACUCUUUACAGACACGAGAGAAGAAGAUCAUGAUGGGGAAAUGGAUGGGGAAGAGCAAGAAACCAGUUUAGAUGUGAUAAGGAAUCAUUAUUUUCUGAAACAGUAUCAAAUGUCUUAUAUGUAUCACAUGAUCUGCAGCACAGGUGACUGGAUGGGAUUGUUUGACUUUUAAGGACAUUUCAUCACUCAUUUGUGUGAACUGAUUAAUAUAUGAUUUUAAUGUAUUUUUGAUGAUCCAUUAUUAUUUUCCUUGAAUCUCGUUUGUCUUGAUGCUACUUUAUCAACUAUAGUCUAUGCUUCAAUAAAAUGAAUAUGGUGAAUUUUGUGUAUUGAAAAUUCUUGGCAAAUACCUUAUUUUACUAUGCGCGUAUGUGCUUAUAUUAUACUUGAAAAACUACAUAUUACUAAUUACUGUGGUUAUUUUUUACUUAAGACAUAAACAUUUUUGAUCAGAUUAAUGACAUCUUGAACAACAAUACACCAGAAAGUUAUUAUUGUAUAUAUUUAGUAACAAAUAUGCCAAUUUUUGGUGAAAUAAAGGGAGUUACAAGAUUAAUUAAUUUGCAUUACAAGAUGGUGCCAUGGGCUUUAUUGCUACAAACACUUAAGGGAUAACUGGGAAUGUACCAGGAAUGAUCAACGUGGAUCUUGUACUGCAUUAAAACCAAGAGCAUGCACAUUACUGAUGUCCAGCACGUGAGGAGCAAGAUAAGGGGUUGAGAAGGACAUUUUUUUACACUGAUUUUUAUAUAUAUAUAUAUAUAAACACACAACCAGCACAGUGGGCAGCCAUUUUAUGCUGCAGCGCCCAGGGAGCAGUUGGGGGUUUGGUGCCAUACUCAAGGGCACCUCAGUCGUGGGCUCCUCAGUCAUGGUGUUGCCAGCCCAAAACUCGAACCCACAACCUUAUGAUUAGGAGUCAAACUCUCUAACCACUAGGCCACGACUUCCCCAGUGAGUGAGAAUGGGUUGGAAAAGUAUACUAUUUUCCUUAACACUGAGGAUAAUUAAAGUAAACCUGUGACUGUAGGGGUUAUUUUUGACCACACAUUCCACCGUAAGAAACACAGAUGAAGAGAACCAGAGGAAAUGAAAGCCAUGGGCACCACCUCAGCAGAAUCUAACAGAGGCAUGUGGAGACACACUGUCCCUUUGCUCUUAAACCACACCGCGUCCAGCCAGCGUGAGAACGGCCUGUCCAGGCAUCCGGACCCUUGGAGUUGAGGGGACAUAGAGAGCCCUUCUCUAGAGACUUCACUAAGUAAACUUGUGUCACUGUUUUGCAAUCAAGAGGGAUUUACACUCAAUGUCAAGCACAG
ensembl:lncRNA